AAACAGAGAAGAGAGACUACAUGUUCUUGCAAGAUGCAGUCAUGCUGCUGACAGAAACAAUUUUAUCUCAAGGUGCAAGGUUGCGAAAUUGUUGUUCAAAAACUUAUCUAAAGGCCAACAUGAAUCAUCAAGACUGUCAAUUGAAACUGGACCAUACCCUUUGCAGGUGAAGGUAUGAAUUUACAGUACAUGACACAUUUUUUGCUUUCAGCAAGAUGAGGAUAAUGUGACUGUUCGUGUGCGUGCGUGCUAUAUGAUACAUUUUCGCUUUCAUCAAGAUGAGGAUAUUGUGACUGUUUGUGUGCGUGUGUGCUUGCUGGAGGUGUUAAAUCAGCUAGAUCUGCCUUGUGAACCGGGGCAGGGGCAACUUUAAUCAGGCCUAUCUCCAGCAACCAGGUCGCGAUGGCUGACGAUGAGCUCCAGGUUCAUGGCUCGCCGGGUUCCGCUGGCUCCACUAACAACUGUUUGCGAGCACUUGCACAGACGAUGAGGCUGCCGAGGAUACCGUUGCGAUAAAGGCUGUCAGAUACAUAGACGAUAUGACUAACACAGUUGUUAGAGAUUUGAACCUUGCGUCGUCCAAAUGACAGCAGCGCCGUGCCGAACGCUUGCUGCAGCAGUUAGAGGAGUCAAAGACCAAUAACAUGAGGCUUGCUAGAGGUUGGCUUACAUGCAUUACUUUUUUGUGCAUGUUAGAAUGCAGUUGCCAUGGACUACUCUGUUGGAGAUCUUCCUGAUAUAAUGGAAGACACAAGUAGCCGCUUGGAAGGACACAUGGAAAAAAUGACGCGCUAUUAGAUGCGGCCUCUCCUAAUUCAUAACUAUUGUGAUUUCGCCUUGCUGUACAUAUACUGCACUUUCAAGAAUGCUUGAGUACAGGAAUCACUGUAUUUUAUAUAUCUCACAAUUUGUUUGUA